UAGUGACCGAUAGUGAACCAGUACCGUGAGGGAAAGGUGAAAAGCACCCCGGAAGGGGAGUGAAAUAGAACCUGAAACCGUGUGCUUACAAGUAGUCAGAGCCCGUUAAUGGGUGAUGGCGUGCCUUUUGUAGAAUGAACCGGCGAGUUACGAUUUGAUGCAAGGUUAAGCAGUAAAUGUGGAGCCGUAGCGAAAGCGAGUCUGAAUAGGGCGUUUAGUAUUUGGUCGUAGACCCGAAACCAGGUGAUCUACCCUUGGUCAGGUUGAAGUUCAGGUAACACUGAAUGGAGGAC
rnacentral:rRNA from 1 species